rnacentral:rRNA from 1 species
GUGAGGAAUAUUGGACAAUGGGCGCAAGCCUGAUCCAGCCAUGCCGCGUGCAGGAAGACGCAUCUAUGGUGUGUAAACUGCUUUUGUACGGGAAGAAACACUCCCUCGUGAGGGAGCUUGACGGUACCGUAAGAAUAAGGAUCGGCUAACUCCGUGCCAGCAGCCGCGGUAAUACGGAGGAUCCAAGCGUUAUCCGGAAUCAUUUGGUUUAACGGGUCCGUAGGCGGUUUAAUAAGUCAGUGGUAAAAGCCCAUCGCUCAACGAUGGAACGGCCAUUGAUACUGUUAGACUUGAAUUACAAGGAAGUAACUAGAAUAUGUAGUGUAGCGGUGAAAUGCUUAGAUAUUACAUGGAAUACCAAUUGCGAAGGCAGGUUACUACUUGUGGAUUGACGCUGAUGGACGAAAGCGUGGGGAGCGAACAGGAUUAGAUACCCUAGUAGUCC